CCUANGGGGGGCAGCAGUCGAGAAUAAUUCACAAUGGGGGCAACCCUGAUGGUGCAACGCCGCGUGGAGGAUGACGGUCUUCGGAUUGUAAACUCCUGUCAUCCGGGAGUAAGACCUGGGGGUUAACAGCCCACAGGGUUGAUAGUACCGGAAGAGGAAGGGACGGCUAACUUCGUGCCAGCAGCCGCGGUAAUACGAAGGUCCCGAGCGUUGUUCGGAAUCACUGGGCGUAAAGGGAGCGUAGGCUGCGCGGUAAGUCAGAUGUGAAAUCCCGGGGCUCAACCCCGGAACUGCAUCCGAUACUGCCGCGCUUAGAGGAUUGGAGAGGUAGCUGGAAUUCUUGGUGUAGCAGUGAAAUGCGUGGAUAUCAAGAGGAACACUCGUGGCGAAAGCGAGCUACUGGACAACUCCUGACGCUGAGGCUCGAAGGCCAGGGUAGCGAAAGGGAUUAGAUACCCUANUANUC
rnacentral:rRNA from 1 species